CCUGCAGCACAGCACUUGGUCACCCCUAUGCCCAGCGGGUAGUCCCGGGAGUCUCAGAAGGGAGAAUUUGAUCACCCUUCCUAGGGUUGGAUGGACCUAUGGAGGUUGGCAAGUGGGGAGCUCCAAAAGCCGCACGUCCCCGAGUGCGUCCCUGCACAGUCGAGCGCUUCUCAGUAGCAGCAGCCAGAGUGAGGAUGUAGGCGGCUUGAGUCCGCCAGAGUCUGAACAAAGGGAGCCGUGGCCCAGAGGAUGCUGAGCUCCUCACGCUCCACCCAGCUGCCUGGCGCGCAGGUAGCCCUGCUUUUGCUCUGCCGAGGGCUGUGUGUUCGAGGCCAGCACACAAAGACUCACUUCCUCCGGUCCAGCUUCCCAGACCGCCCUGUCCCACUGGCGGCCGGUAGCAUUCCAGAGGCCACCACUGGGACCCUCCUGUGCUUGGGUGCCAGGUAUUUGGGAGCAGAGGCGGUUCAGGGAGCCCUUGGAGCCGCUCAGCUGGUGAAGGCGGCGGCUGGGAUUAGCUCGCCUUUUUAGGCAGCCGCGCCGCCCCACGCAGCAGAGUCUGCAAUCGCUCUACGAGAGGCAGGCUCUGCGUCGCUAAAGCGUCCCCGCCUGCGCUGGCCGCGGGGCAAGCUACGGGCCCGGGCGCGCGAGGGAGGCCGAUCAACUCUCCAGUGCCUAGCGGCUAGGUUUUGAAACCCCAAGGUGAAGUGCUGGCCCCAAAGAUCUGCAAUGAAACCACACUUGAAGCAAUGGCGACAACGAAUGCUCUUUGCAAUAUUUGUUUGGGGGCUCCUCUUUUUGGCAAUUUUCAUCUAUUUCACCAACAGCAAUCCUGCUGCACCUAUGCCCAGCUCCUUUUCCUUCCUGGAGAGCCGCGGGCUCCUGCCUGUGCAGGGCAAGCAGAGGGUCAUCAUGGGUGCAUUGCAGGAGUCCUCCUUGCCCAGAAGUUUGGAGGCAAGCAAAGUACUGAUGGACGGCCACCCUGCGAGCCCUUUCAACAGCUGGCCUGGGGACCCACAGAAAGGGGACCAGGCCCAAGAUGGCUUUGACAAUGGGGAUGAGUUUUUUACAUCCCAGGUCGGGAGGAAAUCACAAAGUGCUUUCUAUCCUGAGGAAGACAACUACUUUUUUGUUGCGGGUCAGCCUGGGUUGUACCACCACCGGCAGGGUGCCCUGGGGCUGCCAUCUCCGGGGGAGUCCUCAUGGCAGUCAGGACCUGGUCAGCCCAAGCAGGAGAAGCUGCGUCACCCAAGGAGAGGCAGUUUGCCUGAGGAAGCCUAUGAUAGUGACAUGCUGUCGACCUCCAUGUCCAGAGCCUUCCUGUACCGGCUCUGGAAGGGAACCGUGUCCUCUAAGAUGUUGAACCCGCGCCUGCAGAAGGCCAUGCGCUACUACAUGUCCUUUAACAAGCAUGGUGUGCGCUUCAGCAGGCGGGGGCGGCGUGAGGCACGACGUACAGGGCCAGAGCUGCUGUGCGAGAUGCGCAGGCGUGUGCGUGUGCGCACGUUGGACGGCAAAGAGGCGCCCUUCUCAGGGCUGGGCUGGCGGCCUCUGGUACCUGGGGUCCCUCUGAGCCAGUUGCACCCACGCGGUUUGCGCAGCUGCGCAGUUGUAAUGUCUGCCGGAGCCAUCCUGAACUCCUCCUUGGGGGAGGAAAUCGAUUCUCAUGAUGCAGUUUUGAGAUUUAACUCUGCCCCUACACGUGGCUAUGAGAAAGAUGUCGGAAAUAAAACCACAGUACGCAUCAUUAAUUCUCAGAUUCUGGCCAACCCCAGCCAUCACUUCAUUGACAGUUCUUUAUAUAAAGAUGUUAUUCUGGUAGCCUGGGAUCCAGCUCCUUAUUCUGCCAAUCUUAACCUGUGGUAUAAGAAGCCAGAUUACAACCUUUUCACUCCAUAUAUCCAGCAUCGCCUGAAAUACCCAACUCAGCCAUUUUACAUUCUUCACCCCAAAUUCAUAUGGCAGCUUUGGGACAUUAUCCAGGAAAACACAAGGGAGAAGAUACAGCCCAACCCACCAUCUUCUGGUUUUAUUGGAAUCCUCGUCAUGAUGUCCAUGUGCCAAGAGGUGCACGUGUAUGAGUACAUUCCAUCUGUCCGACAGACAGAACUUUGCCACUACCAUGAGCUGUACUAUGACGCCGCCUGCACCUUGGGAGCCUACCACCCAUUGCUUUAUGAAAAGCUACUGGUGCAGCGCCUUAACACAGGCACCCAGGCAGAUUUGCACCACAAGGGAAAGGUGGUCCUGCCAGGCUUCCAGACUCUGCGGUGCCCAGUAACCAGGCCUAACAAUACAAACACUUAAAAUGGAACUCUUGGGAACUGAUGUGCAAUAAGCAAUGAUAGCUUCACAUUGUAGGAGCUGGGAAACAAGAAGGCCAGAAGCCACCAGAAGGGUUCUUUAAACAAGUCUCAGGAAUCUUCUUUUGCAACUAGAAAAGGAAACAAAACAAUGGAGCAAACAACAACAACAAUACCACAGGUCAAUAUGUUCCCAAAAUAUCUUCUUUGUUCCCUUACGUUUUACACCUACUUCCAAGAGAUCUGUUACUAACUGCUUCCAAUGAAGGAGUUAAGAAUAUUUCAGCGAUUCUUGUCAAAAUCUGUACUAACACCCCAGGGAAAGUAUAACCCAAAACAAGUGGUGUACCAGCAUGCUGUUAUUUGCUUUGCAGUCUCUUUGUGCUUCCCUACUCUAUCAGAACUGUUGAUUGCUUCAAAGCAAACUGUCAUGGACAAAACAGAAAACAGUGAUAGGCUCUUUCUCACACUGGUGCUGUUUGUUGGGUAUCCUAACUGCUGAGAGGCACUGGCACAAUAGACUUCAAGUCACUGGGCCAGGAGAUUUAAAGGCACUUGCACAGCAGAUUUAAACUGGUCUCAUUCACACUUCUAGCAGGUAGUGCAACCUGCUGAAUGGCUUCUCUCACUUCACUGUGGGGCUGUCUAGAUGUCUAUGAGGUGGGAAGCUUCCUCAUAAGGGAUGUCUAGACAGUGUUAUGAGCAGACAAAAACUGAACUCCAGACCUCACAUCUUACACAUUCAAAGUGAGGGAGGGAAAAAAAUGGUACCUCACAGGUGGGUGAGGACAAAAUGAUACUUGCCAAAGGACAUGCAUCAAGAAAGGGAAUAAUGUGGCAAUUGAACUGUUGACUCGUGGCUCUCACUUAUGCUACUACAAGGCUGUAUACAUACCUAAACCACUGUGUUUUCCCAUAAAAUUGCCAUAACAGAAAGUCAUUAGAACUUUCUGUUUUCUGGUGCUAUGAUACAGUGCCACAAAUAAAUAAAGGUAUUUAUUUCCAGAGUUGCAGAGGCUGAACAAUUUAAGCUUAACAUACUAGUAUUUGACAAGGCCUUCUAAUGAUAUCGUAAUGUGAAAGAAUGCAAUAUUUAGUGAGUGAGCAGGCAAGAGAGGAGUGAAGUCAACAAGAACUCACUUUUAUAGCAGGUAUAUAACUCCUGUGAAAAUGGUAUGUAUCUAUUCAGGAAUAUAGAAUAGUCAUCUCUGAAAGAACCCACAUGAGCUAAAUUUCAACACGAGAUUUGGAGAGGUACUCCAAACAGCAGCUUACUGCUGUGGAGAUGGAAAGUCAUACUCUGCUUUUGGGAGUCAAUCCAAAGAAAGAGUGAGGUCCAAACUCCAAAAGUCUUGUCCUAAGGCUAGCAGGAGUAGGACUGCUUUUUUCCCUUGCUCUAGGCCUAAUUAAGUCUUACAACUCACACCUCUGCAGUCCUUGAAGUAGACAUAUAGCCUGGUGGUCAAACUACGGGUUAAGCUUCCUCUGUCCCUAUGAGGACAAGUCUAGCAAUGACCUGGAACUUCUUUUCAUGCAAAUAAAGCUUUCCCAACUCCUCUUCACAAGGUUAUAAUGUAUACUCACCUCCCAGCAAACUUCUACCUACUCCCUAAAGUUUAUAUAACUCUCUUUACCCCAUGUACAGACGAGCUGUUUUGUUGAAAACUUUCUCAGAGAAGGCUAUUUCUCUCGCACUCAUGCAACCCUGUGGAACCCAGCCACCUGGAUGAGCUCUGUUUCUUCCAUAUCGGCCCAGUGUGCAAUACUAGCUGUGUACAUCAAGCACAGAAGCAGAACUGACAUAGAAAAGGCACAGAACCCUCAUAGAAGGAAAGGGAGAUAGUGGGUUUCUGGAGGGGAAACCUAGAAAGGGGAUAACAUUUGUACUGUAAAUUAAAAAAAUAAAAAAAUCCUAAUGAAUAAAGUCUAGGCAUAUCAACCUUUUCCCAAAACACCUAGCCAUUUAGACAUUAACUAUGUGUUUGAAAGAAGGAGAGCACCUUCAUUUGAUAAUUUAUUCUUUCUACCUUACAAGGCAUCCUUCUUACUACCUUCUAAACCAUAAUUAAUAGAAUUUCUGAAUACAUGAAAGAAUGGGAUAUGUAGUUGGAAGAUAGCUCAGUGAGUAUGAGCAUACACCGUUUCAUCCAGAGUUUAAUUCCCAAUACUCAUCUCAUGGGGCUCACAAUCACUUCUAUUUCCACAGGAAACCGACAACUUACUUACUUGACCAUUCCCACACAUAUGCAUAAUUUAAAAUAAUAAAAAGGAACUUUUAGAGUAAUUAUGUAAUGUGCACUAUAAAAAUACAGGGACAAAGAAUGGAGCAGAGACUGAAGAAAAGAUCAUCCAGAGACUGCCCUACCUCCGGAUCCAUCCCACAUACAGUCACCAAACCCAGACACUACUGUGGAUGCGAAGAGGAGCUGGCCGACAGGAGCCUAUUAUAACCAUUUCCUGAGAGGCUUUUCCAGAGCCUCACAACCAUUAGACUGAGCACGGGAUCCCCAGUAGAGGAGUUAGAGAAAGGACUGA